AUGGAAACCCUAUCGGAGCACCGAAUCUCGGCCGCAGCUCCCGCCGUCUUCAUAAUCGUCGUCGCUUUCCAGUUUCUCUCCAAGUGGCUCGAACAGUUAAAGAAGCGAGGACCAGUGACUGCUGAGGAGACUCGGUUGCGGAGAGAGAUCAAACAGCUUUCCAAAGAGGUAAGCUCCUUGUCACAGCCAGCAACAUUUGCGCAAGCUGCAAAGCUUAGGAGGAUGGCGACUGCGAAGGAGAAAGAACUCACAAAGCGUACUGGCAAGGAUUUAAAAGGUUCAUAUGAUUUGUAUCUGAAAGUUUUGUUCACCUCCAAGGUCUUGACAUAUCUUGCGCUAGUUUGCUGGUUUUGGAGGCUUCCAGUUGCCUCCAUAUCACAACAACUUGUUCAACCCUUUGGAAAGGUGAUAUCAUGGAGGGCUGGAGGAGUAUUAAAUGGAAAUGUUAUGGUGGGAAUUAUUCCUUGGUUGAUAUUGUCUACAUUAGCAAAUUUGUUUGUCGACUUUUCAAACUGUAGAAUUUAUAUGAGUUCUGUCCCAAAUUGUCAUAAUGACGGAACGUAAUGUUGUUU